GUCGGAGGGAACUGAGGAGGGCCGGUCCCAGCAGAGGAGAGAUGGCACCAGCACCUGAAGAAAAGACGGUUCCAGCCUCCAAAGGAAGAAAAAAAGAAGGGGAAGACUCCAUUCCUGGCCUCCCAAAAAAGAAAGGAAAAAAGAAGCAUCCAGGAGCCAACCUCCGAGGAAGGAAGAGAAGCCAAAGACCUUUGCAGAGGCCCAGUCUCUGACAUCGCCUGAAAGGAGCAUCAAAGGCCCUGGGACUGGUGUCUCAAAGAGCUGUUUUUGUUGGUAUAACCCAACAACUGACAAAGAGCUGUUAACACUGGGUGUCUCUGACACCGACUCUGAAGGAUCGUUAGUGGCCAGUGCUGUCCAGUAUUCCUGGUGACCAUCACAGUGGCGACCACCACUGAUGCUAUCUGGGUGAAAUAACUGGCCACUUGUGGAUACAUAGGAGAACCCAGAUUUUCCUUGGGGAACUAAGUCGACCUGACUUCAAGCCAGUGGUUCAGAUGGGGCAUCACAGCCACUGACCCAAGAGAAGGAGGUUGGGUCUGCUGAAAAAUGAAGCCAGUCUCAAGGUAAGCAGGCAAAGAAAAAAGUAUUUGAGUGAU